rnacentral:rRNA from 1 species
CCUACGGGUGGCAGCAGUGGGGAAUAUUGGGCAAUGGGCGCAAGCCUGACCCAGCAACGCCGCGUGAAGGAAGAAGGCUUUCGGGUUGUAAACUUCUUUUCUCAGGGACGAAGCAAGUGACGGUACCUGAGGAAUAAGCCUCGGCUAACUACGUGCCAGCAGCCGCGGUAAUACGUAGGUGGCAAGCGUUAUCAGGAUUUACUGGGUGUAAAGGUCGUGUAGGCGGGAAAGCAAGGCAGAUGUGAAAACCAUGGGCUCAACCUGUGGCCUGCAUUUGAAACUGGUGUUCUUGAGUACUGGAGAGGCAGACGGAAUGCGUGGUGUAGCGGUGAAAUGCGUAGAUAUUAGGAGGAACACCAGUGGCGAAGGCGGUCUGCUGGACAGCAACUGACGUUGAGGCACGAAAGCGUGGGGAGCAAACAGGAUUAGAUACCCCAGUAGUC